rnacentral:rRNA from 1 species
UAAAGCUAAUCUGAGCAGGGUAAGCCGACCCCUAAGGCGAGGCCGAAAGGCGUAGUCGAUGGGAACCAGGUUAAUAUUCCUGGGCCAGAUGGAAGUGACGGAUCGGAAAGGUUGUUCAUCCUUAUCGGAUUGGAUGGGCAGCUCACCGGUCCCUGGAAAUAGCUCCAUCAUGAGAUCGUACCCUAAACCGACACAGGUGGACUGGUAGAGAAUACCAAGGCGCUUGAGAGAACGAUGUUGAAGGAACUCGGCAAAAU